GACUGUACUGUAAAUAAAAGUCUUCUCUUUGGUAAAUGUAGAUUGAAACAGAAGAUAGAUGCUAUUUCUUUAGUCUUUUUAAAAAAAAAAUCUGUGACAUUGAUUCACUUAGUGGAAAAUUUUUGACAUUUAACUGGACUGCUGUUGCUCAUGGCCACAUCGGUCCACACAUGGUCAUGUUUCCAUGCUGUAAGCAUUUAUAUGCGUUCACCCUAUAACACAGUGAUAGAUGUAAGAACUCAUCAUACAAUUAUUUAAAACUCCACCCUUAUAACCAGAGCUGCAAAAGCAAAAAAAAAAAAAAAAAAAAUCAUCCUGGCAGACAGUUUUUAUGCUUAGCCAGCGAAGGCCAAAUUUUUGUUCUUGGCCUCAAAAUUAGGUCAAAAUGCAUGUCAAUCAUUAUUUUAGUUUGCUAAUGCAAGCGUCACUGAAUUGUUGCUCAAACUAAGGGUUAGUGAUUUGAUCAUUACAAAUUAUACAACUUAAGUAGAGGUUCAAAUUCAAAAUGUAGACUUUUAGUGUACAUUAAAAACCACUCUAAAUCUAGGAGAACAGUCUAGCUUGGCCAGUCUGUGAUGUUUUUUUGGCUUGGUAUUUUGUCAAAAUCCAUAAGUAUUUUCCUCUGAACAUCUAUUUGUAACACUGUUUACUUUGCUUAGAGGGAUAGUUCACCCACAAAUGAAAAUUCUGCCAUCAUUUACUCACCCUCAUGUCCAAACCCAUAUGACUUUCUUAUGCAGAACACAGAAGAAGAUAUUUUGAAGAACAUUGUGUUGCAAACAUAUUGGACACCAUUGACUUUCAAUGUACGGUCAAAAAAGACCGAGACAUUUAUAUCAUAAUAUCUUCUUUUGUGUUCCACAGAAGUCAUAGUCAAGUUUUUGGAACGAUUUUUUUUUUUGGUGAACUAUCCCUUUAAGGACUAGCGAGUCAAGCACCAUUGUUGUCAUUGAGCCAAAAGUGUCUUAACUGCAAAAUUCCCUCUAGAUAUCCAAAGGUGCGGUCCGAUACACAGACUCCCGCAGGAAACGUCGACAGCGGUGACGGUGACCCGGGCGGCUUCGCAGGUCCGCGCAGGGAGGCCGGAGUCUGGAGGCAGGGCCCGGGGGCUCGUGGCAGCGCUAGUUCAGACCUCAACAAAGGAAAUGGAGGGCUUUUGGAGAGAGCGGUGAAGGGGAGGAGGUGCAGGAUGGAGACAUUCUUCUUCUGUGCGCUCAUCUAAACAGAUUGAGUUAAAAGCUGUGCUGAGCGGCGCGGCCGAGCUCCUUUGGUGGUUUUACUGAAUCAUACGGUCUUGACCGCCACUUCACUCAGGAGUCACUUCUGUGGAGUUUUCCAGCUGUAUUGGCUCUGCGACUUUAUUUAGUGGUUCUUUCAUUCAACAGAACCCCCGUGUUUCCGUGUGCUGCCUGGACGUCCAAGUAAAGCCACGAGUCAAAGGAGGUGUGUUUGUUCCAGGUAACCACAGGAUAGUGUGGGUCGGAAGAAUCCUGUUUACUGUUGAAAGCCACACUGCUGCAGCUGCUCACUGGGAACAAGCGGCAAAUCCAGGGAAGCCAAGCGCUUACUCACUGGUUGGACGACACAAUAGUCUUGGCACUUGACAUAAGAAUGCGAAAGGAUCUUGAUUCUCCAGCGCAUUGUCUGGAGAGACCUCUGCACACUGUAAUGAAGUAUGAAUUCCUCUGUUUAUGAUGGAUUCACUCAGCCAUCCUGGAAAUCAAAAGAAGGAUGUGAGGAUCAGUUCAUGCUCGCGCUGAGUGUCGGUGUGUUAAAGGUUCAGAUUAUAUUUACACUGCAGACCUCAUUCAGUGACAGGAAGGCUGGAAGUGUUUAGCUGGUAGAAGGAUCCUGAAUCCAAUUCAGUUUUGUCACUCAAUGUAAAGGAUCAUCACUAAUGAAUGGUGGGACUACUUCUUGGGGACGAACACGCCACCCUCCACUCCCCCCAAACAACAAGUCCAAUGGAGAAUAAGGGGCAACAUAAAUUGCCAGCAAGACCAUGAUUCCUUACAUUUGAACUCAAAUGGCAAUUCUGCUUCCUGUUUGCUACUUCCAUACAAUUCUGAUGGCUUAAAGCACUGCUCUGAUCUCUCUAUAUUGUUCAUGUUCCUGGAUUGCCUCCUACAAAAGACCUUGAAAUGUAUCAUUUGGAGUGAAGCCGCCCACCAUGCAACAUGCUAUUGGAAAAUCAGUUUCUCCUUUAAAACAGGCAAGCACUGGUUAGGAAAAUGGAUUCAGCAAAUUUGCACCCUCAUUGUUCUACUAACUUCUAGUCUGACUAUAGUCUGACACAGAGUGCAAAGUCGUUCCCAGCGUGCUGUUGUUUAUACUGUCAGAGCCGAGGAAUCUGGAAGCAUUUGGUGGGUUAGCUCGCUGGGAGCUAUCAGACGAUUUCUUUUUAAACUAUUUUGAUAUCAGCUCUGUGGAGAGUUGACUUGCGCCUGAGAAAUGAGACCUUCUGGGCUCUAAGGCCUGGCUGCACUGCAAGAAUAAACACAACAACAGGAUGAAACCACAGCCUGCUGAGGACUUUCAAGAGUGGGAACACGUCACACAGCUGUUAAGUAGUUUCAUCAUCCAUGAUUGUGGGUAUUACGUACCCACACUGGUGGAAUGGGAUGGCACUGUGUUUGUGGUGAUAUCUUGGUUUCAAUUAUCCAAGCCAUAAAGGUCAACGGCAAUCAGGAUAUUGGAAGCCCCUCUGGCCUGUACGGCAAUUACGACUGCUUAAAUUCGAACUCCGCCACACGCUCAGACAUGUAACAGUUCUAAAACGACAACCACCUUCACAGCAAGUCUGUUCCUUGUGACCUAUUACCCAAAUGUGUUUAUUCUAGGAGCCGCCAUUAUCCUGGCCACGAUCCCACUUUAGAGCUAAUGGCUGAAAUUCUCUGCAUAAGUUUUUGUGAAAUAAUUGAUCACAUGUGAGUGUACCGGUGCAUGUUUCCUCCAUUUUGAAGGUGAUAUCAUGCAGUCAGAGUUUUCCUGUGAUACUGUGAUUGCUUCCCUUCGCCGUGGCCAGGGCAGCGAGAUGGAGGCAUUACGCCACUGCACUGGAGUGCUCUUAUCAAAGUGUGCCGUUAUCACUAUCACAAUCUGCCCUGGACUGUGGCCACAUGGACUCAGCAAGUAUGCACUGUCUGCCAUCAACAUUACGUGGCAAGGAAAUUUGACUACAAUUAAGCUUGAAGGCCUGCAAGAUGUUUUCAAGACAAAAAUCAAGGGGGAAAUUUCGACUAGGUUUUGCAAGGGACGUCCAGCUGUUGCUCUUGUGCAUGUGUUGGCUCUUUCAAAUGAACACAGUGUUGCUUUAUACAAGUAAACUUUCCUCCAAGCCAAAGAAAUCAUAAUUUGAUAAAUACCUAUGAGGACUUCAAAGGGCUUGCUUCAGAAGGAAUAACUUCUUUGGUCGAACCGGCAAGUCAAGUUUCUGGCUCUUAUGCAGUCCCACUAUAUUCACUCAGUACUCUGUCCAAACAGUUAUUUGAAUCCUAUUUUUUCGUCCAUCUUCAUUUGUUCAUCUUGCGGGGAAUGUUUUGUAUACAUCUAGUAAAACCACGGAGUACUACAACACAAUUUUGACUCUUCUCCAACUCUGAGUGAAGGACCUUCUGCAUUAAUCUAACUGCUUUAUUUUUCGUAUUUUGACAAAUUUGUGUUUCCAGGAAGUGGCUGAGGUCAGCGCAGCAUCUGUUGCUACUUAUGUCCAAGAUGCAUGCGUUGCUUUGUGUUGGUUGCCAGGGAAACCAUGUCUGCACAAUCACCUCUGAAUGGUCACAUCUUCAAAGACCUCAUGAGACUGUCAAGCUGGAUGAUUCUGACCAAACUGCAAUACUAAGGAACUCAAAAGAAAACGUUCAGAGGAAUGAGUGUUGUUUUGGACCCCACUGACUUAAGUUGUAUGUAAAAAAAGACACUCAAGCAUCCUUCAAUGUAUCUCUUUUUGUGCUCCACGGAUGAAGGAAAGUCAUUGUUUGGAACAACAUGAGGCUGAAUAAAUGAUUACGUGAACGUACAGUUGGAAGACAUCGCAGAUGAGUGGACAUUGGAGCUAAUUAUUUUCAGUGUAGCUACUGCAGACAUUACUGGUUGAUGGUUGAUAUCCAGUAUGUUUGCUUAUUCUUCAUGGUGACCCUAAUACAACAGAGUGACAUUGAACAAAGCAUGAUGAAUGGCCCCUGCUGAUGGCUUCCAGGAUGGAGCUGUGAUUGGAUCAAGAGUUUAGUCAGUUGCUGUUGCCCUUGCAAACAUCUGCAGAUCUUCCCUCCUGUCUGCUUUCUUCUGCUGCCCCUGUGGCCCCUGGAUGGAGUGAAGACGUAGCCAGGCCUCACUUGUGCGCAGGUUUCCUUUGAGAGACAAUAGGGGGGCAGCACAGGGACGUUCCAGGGCUGAGGGGGCAGAUUUAUUGCAAAGGAAACAGAAACGGGUGUCAGAGAGAACAAUAGGGGAUUCACACAGCAGUGGUGUCCCUAGCAUAGAUGCUUACUUUUAUCCAGGACUCUUUCCCCUUAGCCAGGAACUCCCUUCCUACAGAGUGGCUAGAAAAGCCAGUUUCCCCAUUCAGAGAGAGCAGGAGGGACCCAGAGAAAAGAGAGAUCAACGUCUGACAGGGGGUCUGCUGCAGACCUGACAGCACACGCCUGUAGGUCAUCACUUACUGAUAUAUGGGUUCACCAGCCCCCACGUGGAGACAGUGGAGUUCCUGUCUAUACUGGCCUGCUGCCCAUUUCAUGAAAUUGAGAUGCACCGCCCAUCUCAGGCACUGCAAUGUGUCUGAUUGCACUCAAGAGCGCCCCUGCUGUCCGAUGUCAGAACUGACUGGCACACACAAAGACGACAUGUCCCCAAAAAGUAAGCAAUUCUCAAAAAUGUAUUCGUCACUGCAUUAGAUAAUGAAAUAUCAAACCAAUUUUAUUUUUGGAUAGUCUAAAUACACUUUUCGAGUAAAACAUUUCACAAAAAGAUUAGGUUUAAAUGAUAAAACAACACUGUUCAAAAUGAAGACAAAAAGUGUGUGGACUUUUUCUAGUCAUCAAAAGUUGGUGGAAUAUGUUAUCUCAUGCAAUGUGGUUACUCUGAUAGGACACCUGAACUGAUGUCCACAACACUGGUUAAAAGUAACAUCAAAAAGUGAAGCUCUAGCAUCAUUUCGUUGCAGAUUGCACUUGGUUUUAGUUGACUAUGAUAGUAAUACAUUAGGCCUGCAUGGUUUCACAGACAGGGCUUAGAUUAAGCCAGGAUUAAGUGUUUAAUAAACAUUAGCCUUAGAAAAAACAUUACUGGUGUGCAUCUUGAGACAAGACAAUGACACUAACAUAUUUUAAGAUAUGUUAGUAAAAGUUGC